rnacentral:lncRNA from 1 species
GAUUUGCGCAGCUUUGAGCAACAGAUUGUGCACUGUUAGUCCUCGUUAUUGAAUCUGUCUUGGUUUACUUGAAAUCUCUCAUGUGUGACCGCGUACGAGGGUUAUUCUAUUUUGUCAAUUCAUGGAUAGGUCUCUGUGAACUCCAUUCUUUUGUAGCAUGUUCAAUUUCCUUCUUAGAAGUGUAGUUGAUGAACUGAUUCGCUCGUUGAAAUAGAUUCAUUACAGUAUAUUAGCUUUGUUUCCCUGAAACUGUAGUGAUAGUUGAUUACUGUUUAGAAAGGUAAGUAGAUAAUGAAUAGGUCUUUAGUUAGUCUAGGUGUGCCAUCCGAAACAAUAAUAACUUAUGGCCCUCCAAAUGUAGUUCUCUUUUACAUUAGAGUUAGAGGUGUGACGUGCCGAACAAAAAUGACAAUUGCAUGGCCCUCACUUUAUUUAAUUUUGAAUUGACACUUAAAAUUCGGGAGGGUCGUUUAGCGAAUUUCACGGCCUUCCUCAAAUAAUACUAUGCUAUAAUAUUUAGGCACGGUUAAUUAAAUUACCUUCCU